GUUAUAUCACAUUGAAACACCAGUUCCCAUAUGAUCAUUGAAGUUAAGCAACAUUGAGCUUGAUCAGUACCAAAAUAGGUAACUGCUUGGGAAUACCAGAUGCUGUAAG